rnacentral:snoRNA from 1 species
UUCCAAAGUGUUGAGUUCAGGGAAGCUUCCCUAUUAUGUUAAUCAAACUUUGGGACAUUGACAUGGGCUAGGGGAGAUGACUGGAUAGAAAGCAUUAUUCUGGCCGGGCACAGUGGCUCACACCU